GGAUGUGAGGGCAAUUGGCUGUGACAUCCGUCACACCAUUGAUCACCAGAGUUGACUCAGCUGAUUUAGCUGGCAGAUGUUCCCUUCCUCAUGUAUGUCCCUUCCUCACACAGGUGGGGGGACAAGCUUUGAUCAAGGCUAUGAGCAGUUGCACUAACAGGCUAGAACCUCCAGACAAGCUUCUAAGCGCUGAGCCACCACACCCAGCUGUUUGUGCU
ensembl:misc_RNA 7SK 7SK RNA